GAGGGAGAGGGGUGAACGGUGUCUUUUGGGAGAUGGGAUGGACGACUAGGAUAGGUGUGGUUUGUGAGAGGGAAUAGACGGCUGGAUGAGUGUAGAUGGUGGGAUGGGAUGGACAACCAGGAUGAGUAGUAGGUAGGGUGUAAAAAGGAGGAAGAAAAAGAAAAAAAAAAGAAAAGAAAAAACAGAAGAGGAAAGAAAAGGGAGAACCAGAAAGGGAAGAAGAAGGCUGGUGAUAGAAGAUUCAAGAGAGAGAGAAGUCGGAGAGGGAAGGGACAAGAAGAGAGAGCGGGGGAAGGAGGAGAAGAGUAAGGCGACGGAGUGAGUUACAGAGGUGCGGAAAACGAUGGAGAUCGGAGGUAUGGUGAAUUUAAAUUUCAAACAUAGGAUGAUGGUGUAAUGCAGAUUUGAUUUUGCAAAUUUUGAAACAAUGUCUAGACAGUGAAGGAAAUUAAAAUAGGAAAUAGGUGCUUGAUGGUAUAGGAGAGCGGAGAGACGUGGUAAGUGACGGAAAGGUUUGAUUAGUAUUAUGAGUGAAGAGAAGUAGAAGAAGCCGUGGGAGGAGAGCUCAAUAGGUACGAAAAUGUGUUGUCGAGACAGUGUAAGAAACUAGAAGAGGAAGUAGAGGACGGAAGGAAUAGGAGAGUGAAGAAAGAAUUUCUGUUACUAGAAAGUGGGAGGAGGACGAUUGAGUGAAGAGGUGUUAGGGAAUCCAUGGGGAGAAGAGGUGAACUGGUACGAGAAGGGUGAGUCGGGAGAAACAUAAUACAUACAGGAGAAUGGGAGGUGAAAUGCCGAGAAAGAGAGGGAGGCAGGAAGGGAGAACGACUGCUGAUGGUCGUGUAGGGCACAGAGUGGGUGAUAAUGAUAGAAAGAAUAGUGCUAUGAGACGAGGAACACAGAGAUGAGGGAAGAGAGGGAAUGAGAGCGGGAGUGGUUGGAAAGAGUUACAGUUGCAGGUGUGGUGAGGGGUAAACUGAGCGGAAGAGAAAGGGGAUUGGGAAGAAGGUUAGACAACAGUGAGCGUGUGCAUGUACGGGUUGUGUGUGAGUGUACUUGUGUGUGCUAGUAAAUAUGCUUGUAAAUUUGAAAACUGUAUGGAAAUGUUAAUUGUUUGGCAGUAAUUGAAGUUGGAAUGAAUGGCGUGUGGGUUAAGUAUGCAUGUAUGUGUGGUGUAUUGAGUAUGGACAGGGUGAGGUUGCAUUAGUGGUUGUUGAGAUUGGGACGCCGAUAUUGGUUGUUGUCACUUAAAAAAGGUAAGUCGAUCACCAAUAUUGGUGAUGCCUGGGAGUUGUCAGAUUGGUAACGAGAUGAGUUGCCGAUGUUGGUGAUGAAAGAAAACAGUAACGGUGUGUGUGUGGGUGGCCAACUAGGGGUCGAGUGGUGGAAAAGAAAAAGGGGUCACCGAUAUUGGUGACAAAUGGGGGGGUAACAAUGUGGGUGAGUGGUCAGAUUAGGGCCGAGGGGAUGGUAGUUAUAGUAGAGUUAGAUGAGUAGUAGUGGGGGAUUGUGGGUUAGAAAAAAAGGUAUGACCAAUGCAACGGGAGGGGAAAACAUAAAAGAAUGGGCUUUUAAUUAGAUUUUCAUGCUAUAUUUGUGAUUUAAAUUUACUGUACUGAGUUGUAUGUACUCAUUCCCUAUCAAUUACACAUAAAGUAGGACUGGAGACUGGAUCGGAGAUGCGGGUUUCUGAACCUAGCGUAUAGAGGAAAUGGAGCAGAGAUUACGACUAGUAAAAUAGAAUAAUUAUGUAUUUGGUAGCAAUGUAACUCAUGUUUAAAAAUAGGGAUUUGUGAAAUUCGUACGCUACUAUAUUGAUGAAUCUAUAGUUGAAAAAUUUUUAGAAAUUGAGCAAUUGGUUUUCAGUAUUUUCUUUGUGUAUGAUUGAAUUGGUUGAUGGACUGGGAUAUGUGUGUCCUGCAUGUUAAAUAUGAUUGAGAUAAUGUCGCUGAAGAAAAAAAAAUGGGGCGUUACAGUUGGUAUCAAAGAAAACUAAGAGAAAUACUAAUGUACAGAGUGACAGGUUACUCAGAUUUUGAACCAGAAUGUGUGUUCCCAAUGAUCGUGUAAUACGUGAAAAAGUACUCAGUGAGGCUCAUAACACCAAAUUUGCCAUACAUCUAGGGAGUACUAGGAUGUACAAGAACUAUCAGAAAAGUUUCUGGUGGAGGGGUAUGAAAAGAGAUGUGGUCGAGUAUGUGUCGAGAUGUUUGACAUGUCAGCAAGUGAAAGCGAAACAUCAGAGGCCUAGGGGUUUAUUACAACCUUUAUCCAUACCCGAGUGAAAGUGGGAAGAUGUCUCCAUAGAUUUUGUGACCAGAUUGCCAAGGAAUCGCAAGAAGCACGAUAGUAUCUGGGUGGUAAUUGAUUGUUUAACUUAAUCUUUUCUUUCUUAGCAAUAAGGGUGACUGAUUCGGUGGAACAGUUGGCUAGGUUGUAUAUCAAGGAAGUGGUAAGAUUACACGGUAUUCCCGUAUCGAUUGUUUCAAUUCGAGAUUUUUGAUUCACCUCUAGGUUUGGGGGAAGUUUACAACAGGCAUUGGGUACCAAGUUGAGUUUUAGUACAGCUUUUCAUCCACAAACGGAUGGGUAAACGGAGAGAACUAUACAGGUAUUGGAGGACAUGUUGCAGGCAUGUGUUAUCGACAUAGGGUUCCGAUUGGGAAGAUAUGCUAUCUUUGAUGGAGUUCACCUAUAAUAAUAGUCACCAUACUAGCAUCGGGAUGGCUCCUUACGAGGCUCUGUACGGUAGGCCUUGCAGAUCGCCAGUGUGUUGGGAGGAAGUUGGAAAGAGAUAAUUUGUUAGGGCCUGAAUUAGUGAAAGAAACUACGGUUAAGGUGUCAGUAAUACAAAGGAAUUUGUAAGAUGCCCAAAGUAGACAAAAGGGAUACGCAGACAAUCGCAUGAGAGAUUUGAGCUUUAAAGUAGGGGAUCAUGUGUUUCUAAAGGUAUCCCAAAUGAAGGGUUUGUUAAGGUUUGGGAAGAAAGGGAAGUUAAGUCCACGCUUCAUAGGGCUUUCUGAGAUUCUCGAGAAGGUAGGUGGGUAUGGUUGUGUACCAGAUAACACUUCCUCCUCAGUAUAGUGGGGUUCACAAUGUAUUUCACAUAUCUAUGCUACGAAAAUAUCACGCGGAUAUGAAACAUAUUAUACAGUACGAAUCGUUGCCAUUGGGAAGGAUUUAACCUAUAAAGAGGAACUGAUCUAGGUUCUCGAGCGACAAGAAAGGAAAUUGAGAAGGACGAUAAUACCUAUGGUGAAGAUACAAUGGCAACAUCACAUAGAUGAGGAAGCAGCAUGAACACAAAAGGACGAGAUGAUAAGUAUUUAUCCGCAUCUCUUUGAGUAAUAUAACGAAAUUUGAGGGACCCAAUUUAUUAUAAAGGGAGGAAUAAUAUAGUAACUGAGUUUGGGUUGGAAAAAAAAUUAGUAAUAAUAAUAAUAAUAAUAAUAUAUGUAUAUAUGGGAGAGGGAGAGGGGUGAACGGUGUCGUUUGGGAGAUGGGAUGGACGGCUAGGAUAGGUGUGGUUUUUGAAAGGGAAUAGACGGUUGGGAUGAGUGUAGAUGGUGGGAUGGGAUGGACGGCCAGGAUGAGUAGUAGGUGGGGUAUAAAAAAGAGGAAGAAAAAGAAAAAAAAAGAAAAAAAAAAUAGAAGAGGAAAGAAAAGGGAGAACUGAAAAGGUAAGGAGGAGGCUGGUGAUAGAAGAUUCGAGAGAGAGAGAAGUCGGAGAGGGAAAGGACGAGAAGAGAGAGCGAGAGAAGGAGGAGAUGAGUAAGGCGACGGAGUGAGCUACGGUGGUACGAAAAACAAUGGAGACCAGAGGUAUGGUGAAUUUAAAUUUCAAACAUAGGAUAAUGGUGUAAUGCGAAUUUGAUUCUACAAAUUUUGAAACGAUAUCUAGAUAGAAAUUGAAAUAGGAAAGAGGUGCUUGAUGGAAUAGGAGAGUGAAAAGAGGUGGUAAGUGACAGAAAGGUUUGAUUAGGAUUGUGAGUGAAGAGAAGUAGAGGAAGUAGUGGGAGGAGAGGUCAAUAGGUACAGAAAUGUGUUGUCGAGACAGUGUAAGGAACUAGAAGAGGAAGUUGAGAAUGAAAGGAAUAAGAUAGUGAAGGAAGAGUUUCUGUUACUAAAAGUGGGAGAAAGAUAGUGAGUGAAGAAGUGUAAGGGAAUCUGUGGGGAGGAGAGGUGAACUAGUAUGGGAAGGGUGAGUCGGGAGAAACAGAAUACAUACAGGAGAAUGAGAGGCAGAAUGCCGAGAGAGAGUGGGAGGCAAGAAGGGAGAACGACUGUUGAUGGUUGUGUAGGGCACAAAGUGGGUGAUAAUGAUAGAGAGAAGAGUGCUGUGCGACGAAGAAN
rnacentral:lncRNA from 1 species